GACGAACGCUGGCGGCGUGCUUAACACAUGCAAGUCGAACGGAAAGGCCCUGCUUUUGUGGGGUGCUCGAGUGGCGAACGGGUGAGUAACACGUGAGUAACCUGCCCUUGACUUUGGGAUAACUUCAGGAAACUGGGGCUAAUACCGGAUAGGAGCUCCUGCUGCAUGGUGGGGGUUGGAAAGUUUCGGCGGUUGGGUAUGGACUCGCGGCUUAUCAGCUUGUUGGUGGGGUAGUGGCUUACCAAGGCUUUGACGGGUAGCCGGCCUGAGAGGGUGACCGGCAACAUUGGGACUGAGAGACGGCCCAGACUCCUACGGGAGGCAGCAGUGGGGAAUAUGGCACAAUGGGCGGAAGCCUGAUGCAGCAACGCCGCGUGCGGGAUGACGGCCUUCGGGUUGUAAACCGCUUUCGCCUGUGACGAAGCGUGAGUGACGGUAAUGGGUAAAGAAGCACCGGCUAACUACGUG
rnacentral:rRNA from 1 species